rnacentral:rRNA from 1 species
AUGGGAUCUAACCGUGAAUACAUAAAAGUACCCCUCACGUUGUACGCUAAGCAAUUUAGGUGGGCGGACGAAACUCUGUCGUCCUUCAGCCAACACACUAAUGAGACUAAGAAUCGGAGGGAAAGGGAGCGUUAUGCACAGAAUAGAGAGGAAAUAUUAAAGAGACAACGCCAAACCCCUACUGGACAAGAGGCGGUCACCCAGCUGCAAAACAUCACAGGCCCAGAUGGUGCAUUACCAAUUUUAGGACCAUACAAUGGAUUCAUACAAACUGACAAGGAGAAUAUUUCUGACAAUGAUGAAUCCGAUUGGCUGCACAGAAAUGAUGUGUACCAGAUGCAACAAAGUUCAAGAAGAAUGACACUCAUACAACUGUCAGGGGUUGACAACCCCCAACUCAAUACAGUCGUCAAUCUACGUACCCCAGGGGUAACUUUUCAUGAUCAGGACUGCUUGGGAGACCGAAACCUUGGAGAAACUGGUGAUGUUGACCCUGAUGAAGAAGCUAGGAUGUUUGCUAGACCAGAUGUUGAUUUUGAAUCCUACCGAGUGGCACUGCCAUCGUGGCGAACGGUGGCGCCCCUAACGCGACUGCUGCCACUGUGGAGCUUUGUGGUUCCAAUACGAGGGGCCUGCAUUUUGUUGCAGGAAGGGAAAAGUUGGUGUAUUUACUCCAGAGGUUGA